CCUACGGGGGGCAGCAGUGAGGAAUAUUGGUCAAUGGACGCAAGUCUGAACCAGCCAUGCCGCGUGCAGGAAGACGGCUCUAUGAGUUGUAAACUGCUUUUGUACGAGGGUAAACGCAGAUACGCGUAUCUUUCUGAAAGUAUCGUACGAAUAAGCAUCGGCUAACUCCGUGCCAGCAGCCGCGGUAAUACGGAGGAUUCAAGCGUUAUCCGGAUUUAUUGGGUUUAAAGGGUGCGUAGGCGGUUGAUUAAGUUAGAGGUGAAAUCUCGAGGCUCAACGUCGGAAUUGCCGCUGAUACUGGUCGGCUAGAGAGUAGUUGAGGUAGGCGGAAUGUAUGGUGUAGCGGUGAAAUGCUUAGAGAUCAUACAGAACACCGAUUGCGAAGGCAGCUUACCAAGCUACUUCUGACGCUGAGGCACGAAAGCGUGGGGAGCAAACAGGAUUAGAUACCCCAGUAGUC
rnacentral:rRNA from 1 species